UAUUUUAUUGAUAUUUCUGCGUUUUAACCUUGUUUCUUGACAAGGUCCUAACAUGCAGGACCUUACUGCUCUACUAUCAUGAAUGAUAUUUCACUUUUCAAAAGUUUAGAGGUUGGAAUGAAGUUUGACAAGUGUCUGUAUUAAUUAUUUUAAUUAUGUGUAAUUAUUUUAAUUAGUAAUUUGCAGCAGCAUGUUUAUUUGUAUAGUCGUAUAGGAUCAUUUCAAACUUGCACCCUAUUAUGCGUCUUAGUCAAAUGCAAGCUAGUUUUACUCCCUUUGUGCUGUUUGCCACCACACUAACUAUGGAGUGCCAAAAGUACAAAUUCAAUCACACUUAUAUAGCUUUUAUAGUUCUAAUAUUUAGCCCACUUUUUUCCACAUUUGAGUUAAAUGGUGUGGAUAAAUGUUAAAUCUAAAAAAAAUAACUGAAAUGGUCAAUCUAAAUGUUAAAUAUAAAUCUUAAAUGUAACUAUUAAAUCCAAAUGUUAAAUCUAAAUAUUAAAUACAACUGUUAAAUUUAAAUGUUCAAUAGAAAAGUUAAAUAGAAAUAUUAAGUAUAAAUCUAAAUGUUAAGUGUUAUGAGUGUGUAGUCAUCAUUAGUCAUGAGUUUGAAUCCGGUGGUUGCGGAUAUGUCCCUAUAUUGAAAAUAAGUCAUAUAUUGAAAAUAAGUCAGCUCAAAAAGUGUUGUUAAAUUUACAUUGGGCCCUCCUUGAGGAACUGUUAGAUAAUAUUACUGUUUAAAUGAUGGAAUUAGCACUUAAAUGUUGACAUUGAAUUCAGUCUGAUCACAAUAGUCUCUCACACAAGGUUUGCGGUGAAAUAAAUCUAAAUAAUUUGAUUUUCAAAUGAAAUAUUAUCUAUAGCAGUGUUUUUCAACCACUGUGCCGUGGGAGAUUAUCUAAUUUCACCUGUUUGGGUUAAAAAUAUUUUUUGCAAACCAGUAAUUAUAGUCUGAAAAUGAUGUGUUGUUGUUGAGUGUCGGUGCUGUCUAGAGCUCGGCAGAGUAACCGUGUAAUACUCUUCCAUAUCAGUAGGUGGCAGCCGGUAGCUAAUUGCUUUGUAGAUGUCGGAAACAGCGGGAGGCAGCGUGCAGGUAAAAAAGGUGUCUAAUGCUUCAACCGAAAAUAAACAAAAGGUGAGUGCCUUUAAGAAAAGGCAUUGAAGCUUAGGGAAGGCUAUGCAGAACUAAACUAAAACUGAACUGGCUACAAAGUAAACAAAAACAGAAUGCUGGACGACAGCAAAGACUUACUGUGGAGCAAAGACAAUGUACAUCCAAACAUUGACAUGACAAUCAACAAUGUCCCCACAAAGAAGGAUAAAAACAACUGAAAUAUUCUUGAUUUCUAAAAUAAAGUAGACGCGGGAAAUAUCGCUCAAAGGAAGACAUGAAACUGCUACAGGAAAAUACAAAAAAAAAAGAGAAUAAGCCACCAAAAUAGGAGCGCAAGACAAGAACUAAAACGAUACACACAGGAAAACAGCAAAAAACUCAAAAUAAGUCAGGGUGUGAUGUGACAGGCGGUGACAGUACACCUACUUUGAGACAAGAGCUAUAUUGAUGCAUGCUUGGUUAUGGUUUAAAGUCAUAUCCAACAAUUGCCACAACGACUUUUUACUGUCAACUGAGUUUAGUUUUUUAAUGAUUUCUGCUGGUGGUGUGCCUCUGGAUUUUUUCAACACAAAAAAUGUGCCUUGGCUCAAAAAAGGUUGAACAACACUGAUCUAUAGUCAUACCUAUACAUGUUUUCGUGUGUGUGCUGUACUAAAUACAGUUAUAAUAACAAAUGUAUUGUCAGUGGUGGGCCGUGCGUUUCCCACCUAGGCCUUCAGUGAUGUCUGACUUCAAUGACUACCUCUCAAAAUAUCAUCCUUUAUGUCCCUACAUCAGUGUUUUUCAACCACACUAGUGUGCCGUGAGAUAGGGUCUGGUGUGUCAUGGGAGAAUAUGUAAUUUCGCAUAUUUGGGUUAAAAAUAUUUUUUGCAAACCAGUAAUGAUAAUCUGCAAAUGUGCCGUUGCUGAGUGUCGGUGCUGUUUAGAGCUCGGCAGAGUAACCAUGUUGUACUCUUCCAUAUCAGUAGGUGGCAGCAGGUAGCUAAUUGCUUUGUAGAUGUCGGGAAGAUGGUUUGUUGUGAUCACAAUAUGUAGACGACAGCGUGCAGGGAAAAAGGCAUUUAAUGCUUAAACCAAAAAUAAACAAAAGGCGAGUGCCCCUAAGAAAAGGCAUUGAAGCUUAGGGAAGGCUAUGCAGAACGAAACUAAAAUUAAACUGGUUGCAAAGUAAACAAAAACAGAAUGCUGGACGACAGCAAAGACUUACAGCGUGUGGAGCAGACGGCGUCCACAAAUUACAUCCGAACAUGACAUGACAAUCAACAAUGUCCACACAAAGAAGGAUAGCAACAACUUAAAUAGUCUUGAGUGCUAAAACAAAACAUACAGAAGACAUGAAACUUAAUAACAAUAAGUUUCAUGUACAGCAUGGCAACAUAAGCUAGCUGAAUUCUGAUUGGAUCAAAACUCACUGGAAGGAGCACAAUAUGACAUGAAGAGAAUAUGAAUACUUUUAGAUAUUUAGGGAAAGUCAAUUUCAAAAUAAUUGUAUCUUUAUAUAUGAUCAUGAUUUCUAGUUAUGUUAGGGCAGCAGAGAAGGCCUUGACGGCACACCACUGCGUAUUGUCCAGUGUAUUACAUUUGACAUUUAUGUUGUAACGUGAAAAUAAAUAUUCAAUGCUGUCCGCUAGAGGGAGCCAGAGGUCAUGUUUGAAAAGGUUGGAUAAUAGUGGGACAAAUCCCACUCCUAUUUUAACUACAUUAUUUCAAUGUUAGCGAAUGACAGAAAGGUAAUAGCUGGUAAGUAGCUUCCAUGAGUCUUCACAUUACUACGACUUCUGUACUUCCACAUUCAGGCUGAUUGCUGCUCAGUGGCCUAGUGGUUAGAGUGUCCGCCCUGAGAUCCGUAGGUCGUGAGUUCAUCAUACCAAUGACUAUAAAAAUGGGAGCCAUUACAUCCCUGCUUGGCACUCAGCAUCAAGGGUUGGAAUUGGGGGUUAAAUCACCAAAAUGAUUCCCGGGCGCAGCCACCGCUGCUGCUCACUGCUCCCCUCACCUCCCAGGGGGUGAUGUGAUGGGUCAAAUGCAGAGAAUAAUCUCACCACACCUAGUGUGUGUCUGACAAUCAUUGGUACUUUAACUUUUUUUUUUUUUACUUUAUUGCAUACUUGCCAACCCUCCCGUUUUUAGCGGGAGAAUCCCGGUAUUCAGCGCCUCUCCCGACAACCUCCCGGCAGAGAUUUUCUCCCGACAAACUCCCGGUAUUCAGCCGGAGCUGGAGGCCACGCCCCCUCCAGCUCAAUGCGGACCUGAGACUGAGUGGGGACAGCCUGUUCUCACGUCCGCUUUCCCACAAUAUAAACAGCUUGCCUGCCCAAUGACGUCAUAACAUCUAGGGCUUUUAGAGAGUAGAGUGCACAACUGCGCACACACCAAGGAGACGAAGCAGAAGAACGAGGAAAUUACAGACAUGGAGACGCCGUCGACGAGCAAGAUGAAGAAAUACGCUUGCAAGUUCCAAAACGAAUGGAAACAAGAAUUUCAGUUCAUCCAGGACAGUUCGAAGGGGAAGGUGUAUGUUGCCUGUAAAUUUUGUAGAACAGACUUCUCCAUUGAACACAGUGGCCGAAAUGAUAUACUCAUCAUGAACGGAGAAGUUAAACAGGGACAAUGCUGCUAUCUAGUGGAUAGCCACCAGAACACUGAAAUUCAAGUAUUUAUUUUAUUUAUAAUGUAUAAUAAAAUAAAUAUAUAUAUAUACAUAUAUUUAUAUAUAUAUAUAUAUAUAGCUAGAAUUCACUGAAAGUCAAGUAUUUCAUAUAUAUAUAUAUAUAUAUGAAAUAUAUAUGAAAUAUUCGAGUUGGUGAAUUCUAGCUGUAAAUAACCACGCCCCCAACCACGCCCCCCGCCCCCAGCCACACACCCCCACCCCCGACCAAGCCCCCCCCACCCCCUAACCCCCACCUCCCGAUAUUGGAGGUCUCAAGGUUGGCAAGUAUGCUUUAUUGUUGGAAGGGGACGGGGCUGAUUGGUGACGGAAUGUCAAAGGCGCAAAGCUGAUUGGUCCACACGUCCGACGUCGGGUGGUUGUUAACAGGUGAAUGUUCUAAUCACCAUACGGAUCAAGGUGUGUCAAACAGCGCUCCACACUAGCAAACAGGAAGUGGAAAAAAAGGGAGUAAGGGACACUGACACUGACUAACACAAAUAAAUGAAUAUACAAAGUCACGGCAGGUCAUGACAGUCGGACCGUGAAGGUGAAGGAACCUGAGCCAGAAAGCAAAGAUCUCGACGAACCGUUCGAUCCACAUUCCUUCCCUAAAGUGCACUGGUUGGAAAAUAAACAAACACACUUUGAGAACAACUAUGAACUGUUGUGUCAUUACUGAGUCCAGACGUGCUGUUGGACAUUUGAAAACAUUUGACCUUUGAACCAACCAGUAGAAACACACACGGACGCUACUCAUUGGUCAAGUUAGGCUCGAUCGGACGAUUUUCUUGAAAAAGUACGCCAUCCCCAUGGCCGAUUUAAUGCCGAUCACAAAAGCCGAUCUCUUUUGGUUAGCACUGUAUUUAUUUUUAGUCUCCCGGCUGACAAGCCAGCAGCUAAUUGUGUUUCUCCAUAUACAAUGUGGAGCCACUACCCUAAGUUAAUAAUAACUAUCACCUCCAUUGCAGCAAAUAAACUGCCUUUCUUAAUAUUUUAAGUAUCAUUUUCAAGUAUUAGUGUCAGAAUAAUUGUAUAGAAGUUAUCACACAACUUUGGGUUACAUUGAGUUCAGCUCGCCCGGCGAGAAGACCAAAGCUGUCUUUCAUCUUAGUUAGGACUGCCUUCAGAGCGUGGUGGGAGACUGUACGAAGUCGCAGCCCAGACAUUUCUCCUCAUGAGCUAAAUUGAAUCCUGUCUCUGUUUCUUUGCUUCUUGUCUUAGACAAAAGCUGUCUUUCAUCUUAGUUAGGACUGCCUUCAGAGCGUGGUGGGAGACUGUACGAAGUCGCAGCCCAGACGUUUCUCCUCAUGAGCUAAAUUGAAUCCUGUCUCUGUUUGAUUUCUUUGCUUCUUGUCUUAGACAAAAGCUGUCUUUCAUCUUAGUUAGGACUGCCUUCAGAGCGUGGUGGGAGACUGUAUGAAGUCGCAGCCCAGACGUUUCUCCUCAUGAGCUAAAUUGAAUCCUGUCUCUGUUUGAUUUCUUUGCUUCUUGUCUUAGACAAAAGCUGUCUUUCAUCUUAGUUAGGACUGCCUUCAGAGCGUGGUGGGAGACUGUACGAAGUCGCAGCCCAGACAUUUCUCCUCAUGAGCUAAAUUGAAUCCUGUCUCUGUUUCUUUGCUUCUUGUCUUAGACAAAAGCUGUCUUUCAUCUUAGUUAGGACUGCCUUCAGAGCGUGGUGGGAGACUGUACGAAGUCGCAGCCCAGACGUUUCUCCUCAUGAGCUAAAUUGAAUCCUGUCUCUGUUUGAUUUCUUUGCUUCUUGUCUUAGACAAAAGCUGUCUUUCAUCUUAGUUAGGACUGCCUUCAGAGCGUGGUGGGAGACUGUAUGAAGUCGCAGCCCAGACGUUUCUCCUCAUGAGCUAAAUUUGAAUCCUGUCUCUGUUUGAUUUCUUUGCUUCUUGUCUUGUCUAAUAGAUGUCAUCGGUGUUUGAACCUAACAAUUAGAACGAGGCUAAACAUGUUACACGGCGAGAGCAAGCAGGAGCAGGAAUGCUAAUAGCCAAGCUAGCCGCUAAGCUAUAUUAUCUUCACGUCCUUGGAAGGCGUUAGACUCAUUCUGCUUCAAUAUGGUGCAGACUAGCAGUGCUAGGCAAAGUCUGCUACAUGUUUCUGAUGAUUUCUUUCUUUAAUUCCAUGACUAUCAUCCACUUCUUCUCAGCACUGUCCUUCAGACUCACUUUCUUCAUUCCCGUGCUUGGAAAAAUGAAGUUAUGUCGCUCUCUGGCUAUAAACUAAUGCCAGCGAAUAAGACCAGAUGUUUUGAUUGGAUCUUACAGGGUUCGCUAAGGAAUUUGCUACACCAAAUAAUGGCUUGAGACUCUUAUUUCAAGACACUCUAGAAUUGAGGUACCACUGCAAAUAUAACGUUUUUUCGAGAGCUUUACAGGCGGAAAAGAUUGUAUCCCCAUUACCUGCAUUGUUAACCGCCUCUUGCUAGCAGUUUUUUUUAAACUAUUUAGUAUGCACAGAAAAGAGAAAUACAUGUGUUUUUGUCUCACAUAAUGAUAGGCAUUUUUAAAAAAAAGUGCAGUUACCCUGCAAAUCACAGGUGUCAAACUCAAGGCCCGGGGGCCAGUUGUGGCCCGCCACUUCAUUUUAUUUGGCCCUCGGAAGCCUGGAAAUAAUAUGUAUCAAAGUACUGUAACUUUUCUUACUAAAUGUAUUCUUUCUUUCUAUUUUGGGAGGGAAAAAAUAAUUUACUCCACGUAAUCGCAAAUUAUGUUAACUUAAAUAUUGUCAAAUUAUGCAAAAAUAUAUUAUCAAACACUCAAACUAUUUUUUAAAUAGAAAUAAAUACUAAUAAUGAUUAUAAAGCAAGUUAUACAUCAAAUGGUGCAAUGUAAAAGUAGCAAUAGAUUUCAUGGUAAAAUUGUGAAAUUUACUGUGGUUUUUACAGCAUUUUUCUCCAAAUGAAAAAAACAGUACUUUUUUUUUACUGUAAUGAACUGUGGUGCUGUUUUGGCAUUUACAGUAAUACACAGAAAAAUCUACAGUAGUUGAUUUGCGGUAAAAAACAAAAAACAAAAAAAAACUGGCAGGUGCCAAAAUUUAACUGUAAAAUUGCAAGUUUUUUUAUUUACAGUAAAAAAAAAACAAAUGUAAAUUUUACAGUAAAAAAACUAAAUGUUUUUUUUUGCCAUAAAAACAGCAGUAAUGUUUUUCCAUUUACGGUAAUAUACACUACAUUUUGAGGUGAAAUUAUUGCCACUUACCAGUUUUUAGAAAAUCUACUUAUAAAAUGCAUUUAAAAAAUGCUGUAAUAAUAGUAUUCACUGUUAGAAGCGGCCUUCUGGGGCCAAACAUAACUGCAAUGUGGCCCUCAGUGUAAAUGACUUUGACACCUCCCCUUUAAAUGGUGACGCUGUGUUCACCUUUUUGCCUGUGCCCCUCCCACUUACCAAACAUGUUAUUGUGUGGUGUGGCGUGGGGAGUAGCCAGAGGGAAGAAGAACAGCGAGAAGAUGGCACUCACUGUGCAAGUGUGUGUGCGAGAAAGCCAUCCACCUUAUGUCAAAUAUAUGAACGUGGAAAUUUCCCUGGCUGCUCUGAAACGGCUUUUACUUUGUUGUUUAUUCUUGUUAUUGUUAGGUUUUAUUUUUACUUCUUUCUUAACCGUUAAAUGUGUACUACAAUUACAGGAUCUGAAGAACAGGUAAAUAUGAAUCCUCAUCAAAAACAAAGUCAACAUUUAUCAUUGCAUUGUCAGUCCAGUGAUUUUUAAUACUCAUUAUGUAUCGUAUUGUGUUUGUUUUUACAAGAGUAGACACCAUCAUGGCAGACUAUCCCUCCCAGGUUACAACAGAGAUCAACUAGCGUGAUCAAUCAGGAGCAUGAUGGCUCAAAUAAGCCACUUCAUUUCCUGAGAAAAGGUGUGGCAAGCUGUGGUGAGGCUCGUGUGUGUUUUCCAUUCAGAGACUUGGACCUGCUUGAAUACAAUUUUUUAAACCUU